rnacentral:rRNA from 1 species
UACGAAGGGGGCGAGCGUUGUUCGGAUUUACUGGGCGUAAAGGGCGCGCAGGCGGCUCAUUUUGUCAGGCGUGAAAGCCCCGGGCUUAACCUGGGAACUGCGUUUGAUACGGAUGGGCUAGAGUUCGGGAGAGGAGAGUGGAAUUCCCAGUGUAGAGGUGAAAUUCGUAGAUAUUGGGAAGAACACCGGUGGCGAAGGCGGGUCUCUGGGCCGAUACUGACGCUGAGGAGCGAAAGCGUGGGGAGCGAACAGG